AGUAUUUAUGUGUGCGAAUGCACUCAAUGAGUCCUUUUAGUAGUCGGGAGUGGCAAACGGGUGAGUAACGCGUAGGUAAUCUGCCCUGAAGUCGGGAAUAGCUCGCUGAAAAGCGGGGUAAUGUCUGAUGGUCCCAUAUCACUUCGGUGUUUAUGGGUAAAGCUCCGGCGCUUCAGGAGGAGCCUGCGUCCUAUCAGCUUGUUGGUGAGGUAAUAGCUCACCAAGGCGAAGACGGGUAGCUGGUGUGAGAGCAUGACCAGCCACAAUGGGACUGAGAACGGCCCAUACUCCUACGGGAGGCAGCAAUUAGGAAUCUUGCGCAAUGGGGGCAACCCUGACGCAGCGACACCGCGUGGAGGACGACGGUCUUCGGAUUGUAAACUCCUUUUAUAUGGGAAGAAUAACUGACGGUACCAUAUGAAUAAGCACCUGCUAACUACGUGCCAGAAGCAUCGGUGAUGCGUAGGGUGCGAACGUUAUCCGGAUUUACUGGGCGUAAAGAGAUGCGUAGGUGUCUUUGUAAGUCUUUUGUCAAAGCCCGGGGCUCAACCCCGGAAAGGCAUUGGAAACUGCAAGGAUUGAAUCAGAGAGAGGUGAACGGAAUUCCCGGUGGAGUGGUGGAAUACGUUGAUAUCGGGAGGAACACCAGAGGCGAAGGCGGUUCACUGGCUCUGUAUUGACACUGAGGCUCGAAAGCGUGGGGAGCAAAACGGAUUAGAUACCCGUGUAGUCCACGCUGUAAACGAUGGAUGUUAGCUGUUUGACACAACCUGUUUUUCUCUUCGGAGAUUUUCUGGAAGUGUUGAGUGGCGUAGCUAACGCGUUAAACAUCCCGCCUGGGGGAGUACGGCCGCAAGGCUAAAACUCAAAUGAAUUGGCCGGGGACCCGCACAAGGCGAAGGAGCGCCGUGGUUUAAAUUCGAUGGGUAAUCGUAAGAACCUUUACCAGGGGU
rnacentral:rRNA from 1 species